GUUGAAAAUAGCAAAAUUUCAUUGUUUUUUUUAUAACGUGAGUGGAUCAACAUCAGGUCGGUUGGUUGUUUUAUAUUUUUCGAAAUAGGUAUAGCGAUUCGUCAGUAGGGAGCGAAUUUCGCAGGUACAUGGCUUGCGAUCAGUGCGAUGUACGUACGUAAGUGCAGCAGCGAUGAAUUCAAGUCGGUCUUUAUCAUUACUUCAACGAGAUCGAUUGGAUCGUCCUCAGCGCGGGGUUCAAGGAGAGACGAAUGCGCGACGGAAGAUGAGCGAGUAGCUGCAAGUGCGGGCUUGAAUUUUGUACGUCGAGCGUCGUCUCAAGCGUUGGCACCGAUUCAAUCGUACUAUUCGAGCGCGAGUAGCGCGGAUCUAUCGAUGCGAUCCUUGAAUUUCUCUCGAUCUAUUCUUCGAAGCGGCGAUCGACGGCGUAAUAUUCGUUCGAACGAGUCGUUCACCUUCGAUCGAGGAGGUUAUCCAAGAGCUACCCUCGUAAGAGCAGCGACAAAAAAUUGCAUUACGCGCGAGCUGUUACUAGCGCAACAGCUAGUUAGCUUCGAAUUUGGCCAAGAGCCAAGAAAAAGAAUAUCGUGUCGAAAAUAACGCAGUCGACAGCGACGCAGUCCAGCUUUUUCAAUUUGCCGAGCAUCAGUUGCAGCUCGACGUUGUGCACUUUACGGACUGGUGCGUGAUCGACGAUUGUGCCUGUGCAAAGUGAACCUCGUUUCUUCGCUCGUCCCGCAGUGCGCAGUCCGUCAGUGAAAUAAUGUGAGAGCAACGCGACUCGACCAACCGAUUGCCUACUUCGUUAGCGGAGGAGAGAUCUAAAUGUGUUCAAUAGCAGCGAUACCGUCGGAACUGCGGGUUUUGGGGCGCAGUCCUCCUGUGUGCGGCUCGCUGCUCUACAGCUCGUUGAUGGUGACGACUCCAGCAGGGCCGAUCGUCAGCAGAAACACGGUACCGCCGCAGAUUCGCUCUUGUCUCGCGUCGGCCUCGCUGCAGCUCAACGAGCUCAUCAAAACCAGCAGCGAGGAUGCGAGCAGCAGCAGCGUCGCCGACAGCAACAAGAGGAACAAGAAGAGGGUCGUGUUCGCCGACGACCGCGGAAGGCCCCUCGAGCACGUGCGAGUGAUCGGCGAGUCGAGCAGCACGCCGCCCUCGUGGACCAGCUCGUACGUGGCCAGCCUCGUCCGGGGGGGCCUCUUCCAGCCGUACGACGAGCUCGAGCAGCGGGCCCUGCAGGAGCACCAGCCCAGCGACGCCGUCGACUUUCCUCGCAAGCCUAGCUCCGACGCCUCCGUCUGGGAGCUGUGCUUCCUGCAGCCGGCCAGCGACUACAUAGGCUUCCGGGACAAGCUCGACAGGCACGGGGUCAGCUUGGAGAACGUCCUGGUGAACGAGGCCGAGCAGAGCCUCGUCGGCACCGUCAAAGUCAAGAACCUGGCCUACGUGAAGGAGGUCGCGCUGCGCCUCACCUUCGACCAGUGGACGAGCCAGCGGGACAUAGCCUGCGUCUACGUGCAGCAGCACGGCUUCGGUCAGUCGUCCGUGCGCAGCCUCUACGACACCUUCCGGUUUCGCGUCGACUUGAGCCCCGAGUCCGCCGCCAGUCGACAGAUCGAGUUUUGCGUUCGUUAUCGCACCCAAGGCCAAGAUUAUUGGGACAACAACGACGGAGCCAACUAUUGCCUCAAAAAGAAGAGAGACAUUUCAUUGGAGGAACAAAUUACCGAAUUUUUAUCAUCGUGCUGUGGCCCAACAUCUGUUCAUAACGGUUUCGAUCAAACUUACAAUCGUGAACAAUUACCGCACAAAAUCGAUACGAAAGAAGAUGCUAAGAUCCGUGACUGGAGCGAGUUCGCAUCUUGGCAACACCUCGAAAAUGACUCGCCCUACUGCUGCUCGUAAGAAGAUGCUCAUAAAAGCUGCUAGUAAAUGUAAUUUACAACAUUGGACACUUUCAAAUGCAGAACCAUUUUUCUACUGAAUUAAGGGCUUACUGUAAUAGUUGAUUAAGGGUAACUGUCAACGAUUAAUGAAAAUGGAUUUGGUUUUUAAACGAGCAGUUAAAACAUUGACAAUUUGUAAUUACAAAGAUAUAAGUACAGUUUUGUAACGAUCAAGAAAAUAAGCGAAGAUUAUAACAAAAGUGAACAAACAACAAAUAAUAAAAAGUUCAUUUAUGAUUAUAGUUCAUCAUGAUCGGCCGUUUUUCGAAAAGGAUUUUAAAAAAUUAUUUUAAUGAAAUCUAAAAACAUUAAUUCAAUGUCAUAUCUGAAAAUGUUAUUCAGCCUUACAUAAAUGACAUUUUUAUAAAAAAAUUUUACUUCAGUCAACAUUAUGUUAUGUAAACAUAAUGAGCAAUAAAAUUUUGAUAAAAAAAAAAUUUAAGUAAAACUUAAAAUUCUAUUAAUUUUUGGAAGCUCAAUCCAGUUAUGACAAAAAAUUGGAAUUCCGUGAAAAAUCACCGCAACGCUGGAUAAAUAUUUCAUUAAUUUAACAUUAGAAAUGAAAAAAAUUCAGAAGUUCUCAUAGGUGAUAUUUCGAAACAUUAGUUGAUAUUAAAAUUCAAACGUUUGAAGGUACUGUUCCAAAUCAAGAAGGUUUACUAUUGAGAUUUUGGAAUACACGUGAAAAAUGGAAAAUAAUGAGAAAGCGUGUACUGUGCAUGUAAAUUCGUAAUAAAUAUAAUUUAUACUAAAAUUUUAAUAUUUUGAGUCAAAAUAUUAAUGUUUGCUACGAAUCAAUUACCAGUGUAAGACAAAAAUAGCUCUAUACUGUUUUUGUUACAAUAGGAUGUCUAUGUUUUUUCUAUUGAAUAAAGUUAUUAUCAAGCUUUAA
rnacentral:misc_RNA from 1 species